CUCACUUUAUUGGCACUUCACGGGUGAAAAAAAUAGUCUGGUGCAGAGCCUGUCUUUCUCUAUUACUGUGGUCUGGUGAUAAAGUAAUAACACCGAUUGGGACGGAUAAUGUACACUUACACUCUGCACCUCCAAGGAUAAAAUAAGGGAAAUGCCACAUUGACACAUUUACCUUCAACUUUGAAGUGUCACAGCCACCGUUACAGAGGCAACUGUUGGGUUAUCAUAGAUAUAUAUCUAUGUUGGGUUAUUACCUCGCCAGACAGUUGUGAUGGUCUCUCAGUUUCAGAGGACAUCUACUUCCAGUAUGAGUGAGUUAACAGACUUUGACAGAGGCCAGAUAGUUGGUGCCCAGGUUGCAGGUCUGUCGGUCAAAAAAACUGCUCAGUUAUGUGAUGUAUCAAGUCAAACUGUCUUCAAAGUCAUGAGUGACUAUAACAAACACGGACACACUUCAUCAGCAAAAAAGAACAGUGGACACAAGGCACAGACGAAGAGGAGAGGACUGACAAAAGCUACAACUAAUGGAGAAGUUGCCAGUGGGAAACCAGUAUCCAAGUCUGAUGAAGAGAGCAAGAUACCUGAAUCCCAGACCCAAGACAAGACACAGUGGUGAAUGUUUUCCUACCCUGGAUAUCUCUGAUCCAGUGUACAAAAUAAUGGAAUCACCAUAUGACGGAGGACAUUGGCGCACCUAAGUAGAAAUUACAGGGCCUGCUGCCUGCGUGUAAAUUGGGAUUGCUUGCCGGCACCAAAAGAGACCGUCAACACUUAAAUAGCAGCGUUUAAAGCAAUAUGAGUGACUUAACAGAGUUUGAACGAUGCCAAAUAGUUGCUGCGCGGCUGUCAGGGGCAUCUGUCACAAAAACUGCACAGCUUUUUAACGUGGCAAGGGGAACAGUCUCCAGAGUCAUGACUGUGUACAUCAAACAUGGACGAACAGCAUCAGCAAAGAAGAACAGCGGGCGCAAGUCAAAGCUCACAGAACAGGAUAGACAGACACUUCUCAGGAUAGUCGAUGAGCACCCUGAGUAUACAGCCUCAAAAAUAACCACAGAGUUGAAUGGACACCUCUCUCACACCGUCUCAGUCAAAACUAUACGGCGUGAGCUUCACAAAGCUGGUAUUUUUAUAGGAGCAGCCAGUCGGAAACCAGAGACCGAGACUGAAACACAGAAGCCAGAUGGAAAGAACACUAAACCUAAACCUGGCAAAGAGCGUGACACACAAAAACAUGGCGACGAGAGCACAAAACCUGGAAUGCAAACAAAUGACAAAGAGUGUGGCACACAAAAGCCUGUGGGAGACAAAACAAUACCUGAAGCCCGGGUUAGUGUCGAAGAGUACAACACAGAAAAAUCUGAAGAGAGAAUACAACCUGAAUCCCAAGUCAGUUAAGAAGAGUACAUCACACAAAAGCCUGGUGAAGAGAGCACCGAACCUAAACCUCAGACCAGUGAAAAGGAAUAACUUGUUGUAUUUUCAGCCUUUCUUAUAUAUCUAGAUUGGUCAUAUUAAUAAUGGAAAACCACAGAAUGCCUACAUCCCUUAAUGUUGCCCACUGUCAAAUGUGACCAUGGAUUUCUGUUUCAAGAUUUUAUUAUGUAUUUUGAAUGAAUUUAAAAGGGUGCAAGAUUCCGGCAUAUCCCAAGCGUUGUUUUUUGUGUGGUUUGCGAGCAAACGUAACUUAACAGAAGACUAAAAAGUGAAAAAUGUCCAAACUGUAAAUUAUAGUUUUUUUCCUGAUAUUCAGACAAAUGUCAUGCUGAAAUUAUUGUCUGUGUUGUACUGUAAAGCAUGGCCUUUUUGAGGUUAUAAUUUUUUAUAUAUAUAUAU